AUUGAACGCUGGCGGCGUGCCUAACACAUGCAAGUCGAGCGGUAACAGGUGUAGCAAUACAUGCUGACGAGCGGCGAACGGGUGAGUAAUGCUUCGGAAUCUGCCCAUGUAGUGGGGAAUAACCAGCCGAAAGGUUGGCUAAUACCGCAUACGACCUACGGGUGAAAGCAGGGGAUCGCAAGACCUUGCGCUAUUGGAUGAGCCGAAGUCGGAUUAGCUGUUGGUAGGGUAACGGCCUACCAAGGCGACGAUCCGUAGCUGGUCUGAGAGGACGACCAGCCACACUGGGACUGAGACACGGCCCAGACUCCUACGGGAGGCAGCAGUGGGGAAUAUUGGACAAUGGGGGCAACCCUGAUCCAGCGACGCCGCGUGUGUGAAGAAGG
rnacentral:rRNA from 1 species